CGGUAAUUCCAGCUCCAAUAGCGUAUACUAAAGUUGUUGCAGUUAAAAAGCUCGUAGUUGGAUUUCUGCGGGGACGGAGCGGCCGGACGCAACUUGCGUCUCGAGCUAGCGCUUUCCCCGCAUCCUGCCGCGAACCGUGCUACCAUUAGCUUGGUGGCGCUGGGGAUCGGCUCGAUUACUUUGAGAAAAAUAGAGUGUUCAAAGCAGGCCACACGCCUUGAAUAAGUUAGCAUGGAAUAAUGACUAAGGACUUCGGUUCUAUUUUGUUGGUGUUCGGGACUGAAGUAAUGAUUGAUAGGGACAGUUGGGGCGGUCUGUAUUCCAAAGCGAGAGGUGAAAUUCUUAGACCUUCGGAAGACAAACAGCUGCGAAAGCGUUCCGCAAGGAUGUUCCCUUUGAUCAAGAACGAAAGGUGGGGGAUCGAAGACGAUCAGAUACCGUCGUAGUCUCAACUAUAAACUAUACCAGCUAGGGAUCGGUCAACGUUUAAUCAUUCGACUUGAUCGGCACCUUAUGAGAAAUCAAAGCAUCUGGGUUCCGGGGGGAGUAUGGUCGCAAGGCUGAAACUUAAAGGAAUUGACGGAAGGGCACCACCAGCCGUGGAGCCUGUGGCUUAAUUUGACUCAACACGGGAAAACUUACCAGGUCCAGACAUAGUAAGGAUUGACAGAUUGAUAGCUCUUUCUUGAUUCUGUGGGUGGCGGUGCAUGGCCGUUCUUAGUUGGUGGAGUGAUUUGUCUGGUUAAUUCCGUUAACGAACGAGACCCCAGCCUGCUAAAUAGCGCGGCUGAGCUUUGCUCGGUGCGAGCUUCUUAGAGGGACUAUGAUGCGCGAUAGCACAUGGAAGUUUGGGGCAAUAACAGGUCUGUGAUGCCCUUAGAUGUUCUGGGCCGCACACGGGCUACACUGGCGCCUGCAACGAGCAUAUCAGCUGGCCCGAGAGGGUCUUGGCUAAUCUUUUGAACCGGCGCCGUGCUUGGGAUUGACCAUUGCAAUUGUUGGUCAUGCAACGAGGAAUGCCUUGUAAACGCGAGUCAUCAGCUCGCAUUGAAUACGUCCCUGCCCUUUGUACACACCGCCCGUCGCUCCUACCGAUGAAUGUUCCGAUGAAAUUUUCGGAGAGCGCCAGAGAACGGGGCUCUGCCUUGCAGAUCUGGAGGCUCAAAGUCACUUAAAUCUGAACAUCUCGAGGAAGGAGAAGUCGUAACAAGGUAACC
rnacentral:rRNA from 1 species